GAUGAACGCUGGCGGCGUGCUUAAUACAUGCAAGUCGAGCGAACGGACGAGAAGCUUGCUUCUCUGAUGUUAGCGGCGGACGGGUGAGUAACAUGUGGAUAACCUACUUAUAAGACUGGGAUAACUUCGGGAAACCGGAUCUAAUACCGGAUAAUAUUUUGAACCGCAUGGUUCAAAAGUAAAAGACGGUCUUGCUGUCACUCAUAGAUGCAUCCCCGCUGCAUUAGCUAGUUGGUAGGGUAACGGCUUACCAAGGCAACGAUGCAUAGCCGACCUGGUAGGAGGUUCGCCGAAACUGGAAGUGAAACAGGGUCAAGAAUACUACGGGAGGCAACAGUAGGAAAUCUUAGGAAAUAGGCGAAAGCGUGACGGAGGGGCACCGCGUCAGUGGUAAAGAUCUUCGGAUCGUAAAACUCGGUUAUAAGGGAAGAACAUAUGUGUAAGUAAAUGUAGACAUCUUGACGGUACCUGAUCAGAAAGCAACGGCUAACUACGUG
rnacentral:rRNA from 1 species